GACAAACAGGUCAAGUUAAGUCUUAGCAGUAAAAAAUAAAGUCAGAAAAUUUAAACUGUUUGAGAGUAAGGAAGAUUAACUUUGUGUGUGGGGGUGGAAUCUGUGCAUAUAAAGUUUUGUUAGUUGCUUCUUUUUGUUUGAUGCUUUGAAAGUUUGGAGAGAGACCAGGAUUAGAUACCCCGUUAUUGAUUCUAUAAAUUUUGAUCAUUGUUGAUUUACUGGAGUAUUACGGGUCGGCUAGCAGCUAUAUAGUUAAGUUGUGCUAGUGGGAUAUUUAAAACUUAAAAAACUUGGCGGUGCCUUAUUUCCUUCCAGGGGAACCUGUCCUGUAAUCGAUGAUCCACGAUUUAACUCACUUUUUUUAGAAAGUAACAUAUUUUUAUAUUCAGCUUGUAUACCGUCGUCGUCAGAUUACCUUUAAGAGAUAUGAAGUUAUCAGGUAAAAAGGGGAAUGCAGAGGAAGUUCUGGUUCUUGUUUUAGAUGUCAGAUCAAGGUGCAGCUUAUAAAAAAGUAGAGAUGGGUUACAAUGUAUAUUUAAUAUAAUGGAUACUAGUCUGUAAUUACUAGGUGAAAGUGGACUUGGGAGUAAUCAAAUUGAGGAAAUAAAUGCUAAUUAGAUAGUUUUUGUGAAUUUAGGUACUAAGGUGCGC
rnacentral:rRNA from 1 species